rnacentral:lncRNA from 1 species
CUGAAGGCUCACAGAGGGUAACAGACUUUCCCCAGGACAUGCAGCUGGUAGGUGGUGGACCCCAGGCUCCCGAUUUCAGAGAUCACCAAGAGAAAAUCAGAUCAGCAAAGAAGGAUGCCACUCCUUGGCAUUUACACAAAGGAGUUGAAAACUUAUGUCCACACAAAAACCUACACAUGGAUGCUUAUAGCAGAUUCAUUCAUAAUUGAGAAAACAUGGAAGCAACCAAGAUGCCCUGCAGCAGAGAACACUUCUCUCCAGCAGACCUUGCAGAGGGCCAUCCAAACACCAGACAUCCUGCUAGCAGCACUCAUUAGCUAAAGAGACCUCAAAAAGGUACCACCUGUGGAGUUGUCAGAGCUUUCAUCCCAAGCCCUAAGUGCUGGGCUUGUUGAACAUCAGUGUGUUCAGCAUAAUUUCAUGAUUGGCAGCCUUCUCCAACAUAAUACACUACAUCUUCC